GCUUCCUACGGGAGGCAGCAGGGGGGAAUAUUGGACAAUGGGCGCAAGCCUGAUCCAGCCAUGCCGCGUGUGUGAAGAAGGCCUUCGGGUUGUAAAGCACUUUUGUUCGGGAAGAAAAGCUACCGGUUAAUACCCGGGAGUCAUGACGGUACCGAAAGAAUAAGCACCGGCUAACUUCGUGCCAGCAGCCGCGGUAAUACGAAGGGUGCAAGCGUUACUCGGAAUUACUGGGCGUAAAGCGUGCGUAGGUGGUGCGUUAAGUCUGUCGUGAAAGCCCCGGGCUCAACCUGGGAAUGGCGAUGGAUACUGGCGCGCUAGAGUGCGGUAGAGGAGAGUGGAAUUCCCGGUGUAGCAGUGAAAUGCGUAGAGAUCGGGAGGAACAUCAGUUGCGAAGGCGGCUCUCUGGACCAACACUGACACUGAGGCACGAAAGCGUGGGGAGCAAACAGGAUUAGAUACCCUGGUAGUCCACGCCCUAAACGAUGCGAACUGGACGUUGGGAGCAACUAGGCUCUCAGUGUCGAAGCUAACGCGUUAAGUUCGCCGCCUGGGGAGUACGGUCGCAAGACUGAAACUC
rnacentral:rRNA from 1 species